UUUUGCCUUUUUAGUGUUAGAGCAUGGCAUGCUGAAGUUAGUUUAGACCUAAGGAAUCGCCUUAUUAAAAAAAUAGUUGAAACAAUAUAUCCAGUUCCUAAUCCAAACAGUAUGCAUGAUAGUAGAGUGAAGAGCCUAUUCCAGUUUGCAGUGAAAGUUGAGAAUAUGAUGUUUGAGAAUGCAAGCAGUAGGGAGGAUUAUUAUCAGAAACUAGCA